rnacentral:lncRNA from 1 species
UGAUAUUUUUCAUGAAGAUGAACAGCAAACGGAUAAUUGUAUAUGAUAUAUAUUUUAGAUUUAAAUCAGAUUAUACAUGUAUUUUUAUAUAUUUUAGAUCGUUAAAAUAUUAUAUUUGAUAUAUUGUUUGACACACGAUUUAAAAUUUAAUUCCUGUAAAAUCUUAGAUCCAAAACCCUAGGUUCUGUUUGCAUGAAAAUAUGAAACUAUGACUGGUAUGCCUAUGG